rnacentral:rRNA from 1 species
UACGGGGGGGGGCAAGCGUUGUUCGGAAUUACUGGGCGUAAAGGGCGUGUAGGCGGGGAAGUAAGUCGGGCGUGAAAUCCCUAGGCUCAACCUAGGAACUGCACUCGAAACUACUUCUCUUGAGUAUCGGAGAGGAAAGCGGAAUACCUGGUGUAGAGGUGAAAUUCGUAGAUAUCAGGUGGAACACCAGUGGCGAAGGCGGCUUUCUGGACGGUAACUGACGCUGAGACGCGAAAGCGUGGGGAGCAAACAGG